rnacentral:tRNA from 1 species
UCCUCCGUAGCUCAAUGGCAGAGCAUUCGGCUGUUAACCGAAAGGUUGCUGGUUCGAGUCCAGCCGGAGGAGCAA